rnacentral:rRNA from 1 species
CGCAAACUACGCGAGAGUAAGCUAAUCUCUUAAAGCCGUUCUCAGUUCGGACUGUAGGCUGCAACUCGCCUACACGAAGUCGGAAUCGCUAGUAAUCGCGGAUCAGCAUGCCGCGGUGAAUACGUUCCCGGGCCUUGUACACACCGCCCGUCACACCAUGGGAGUCGGAAAUGCCCGAAGUCUGUGACCCAACCGAAAGGAGGGAGCAGCCGAAGGCAGGUCGGAUGACUGGGGUGAAGUCGUAACAAGGUAUC